GGGGGCGUAGCUUAGUGGUAAAGCGCUUCGUUUGCAACGAAGAGAUCCCGGUUUCGAUCACCGGCGCCUCCA
rfam:Plasmodiophora brassicae isolate e3 genome assembly, contig: scaffold_20